rnacentral:lncRNA from 1 species
CCCUCAGCAGCAACACAAAACUCAUCUUCCAGCAUUCUUUGAAUGGAAUGAUAUGUUUAUAAUGGUGACAGAUGAAGUAAUUUACAGCAUCUGCUGGUAGCCACUUCAGUAUUUAUAGGUAGUUAAUCCACUCUGCCAAAGAAAAGGACCAGAAUGCCAACAGGAUUGUUGGUAACUCUGUGUGUGUGUGUGUGUGUGUUUGUGUGUGUGUGUGUGUGUGUGUGUGUGUGUGUGUGUGUGCUGCAACCUUGCUUGCUGCCCUCAGCUGCAUCUCAGUUAAUAGAGAGCACAGUCCCAUGUAGAAGAAAUUGUUUUCUAAGCAGAAGUACGCUUGUAAGACUCAAUAUCUCGCCUUCAACACAAGGCAGUGUAAAGAAGCCUAAGAAAAGAUCCAUAUUACCCAGAAACCAUGAGUACUCCACAGAAUUGCUAGCUUGUUUUGAAACUCUGAACACCUCACUAGGAGAACCCUAAGCUUUCCUUUAUAAAUUGUCACUCAAGUCAAUGUUUUUUAUGUGGGUUUAGAGUUAUGAAAUUUUCUUUCAGGAUGGCUGUUUAGACAAGUUGGGAUUUGAUGCAAAAAAUGAUAUUCUUAAUGACAAUACUCCAUGCAAAUAUGACACUGAGUUUUCCCUUGAUUUGUCUGCAGUUUUGAUGUACAGUAUUACCUGUAUAUUGCUGAUACAAGACAAACUUGCCUCCCUCAAAGAUUCAAGUACUGUAAAUUUGUAAACACAAAUGAAUCUUAUGUCUCAAAUGCAGGUCAUUUUUUUCUUGCCUUCAAGUGUGUCAAUACAGCUUCAAGUUUACGGGGAAUGUAAAAGGUUUAAUAUGGAGAAGGACUUGACAUAUGGGUACAUCUAGGUACAUCUAUGUACUCUUGGCUUUUUUUGUGAUAGUGUUCAAGACAUAUUUACAUGGAGGAGAUGACUGUCAUAGCACUUGUCAAAUCCUAUUCCACUCUGCUUUCAUGGACUAUAAACAAAUGCCAGACUGAAUACAGAAAUCUUUCCAGAUUUUAUUAAGAGACAUGGUCUGUAUGAUCUUCACAGAACACCUAGAGAAACUGAGGCAUCACGCAUCAACAGAACUUCUGCACUAGACUUCCAGAGGGCAGACUUUGGCUUUUUCAAGAGAUUCAUUUGGAGAGUACAGAAUCACAGAAUGACAGAAUGACUAGGUUAGAAGAGACCUUCAAGAUCAUGGAGUCUAACUGAUGCCCUAUUACCUAAACUAUAAAGUAAACCAUGGCACCGAAUGCCAUAUCCAGUCUUGUUUUAAACACAUCCAGGGAUGGUGACUCCAUCACCUCUCCAGGCAGACUAUUCCAGUAUUUUAUCACUCCUUCCAUAAAAAACUUUUUAAUAAUGUCCAGCCUAUAUUUCCCUUGGUGCAGCUUGAGAUGGUGUCCUCUUGUUCUGUCAGUUGCUGCCUGGAGAAAGAGACCAACCCCCACCUGACUGCAAACACCUUUCAGGAAGUUGGAGAGAGUGAUGAGGUCACCCCUGAGUCUCCUUUUCUCCAGGCUAAACAACCCCAGCUCCCUCAGCCAUUCCCCACAGAACUUGUGUUCCAAGCCCCUCACCAGCCUCGUUGCCUCCUCUGGACGCGCUCAAGCGUCUCAACGUCCUUCCCAAACUGAGGGCCCAGAACUGGACACAGCACUCGAGGUGCCUCACCACACAGCCUCACCAGUGCCCAGUUCAGGGGGAGAAUGACCUCCCUGCUCCUGCUGGCCACACCAGUCCUGGUACAGGCCAGGAUGCCAUUGGCCUUCUUGGCCACCAGGGCACACUGCUGGCUCAUGUCCAGCUGGCUGUCCCCAGUACCCCCAGGUCCCUUUCUGCCUGGGCACUGUCCAGCCACACUGUCCUGAGACGGUAGUACCUUGGAAAAUAGUUAUUAAGAACAAAGGGGUUCCGGGAAGGAUUGUCAUACUUCAAGAAAGAAAUCUGGAAGCCUCAGGAGCAAGUUGCCCCUAUGUGCAAUAAGAUGAGCUGACAGAGAAGAUGACCAGCCUGGAUCAGCAGGGAGCUUUGGAAAAGCUAAAGGAAAAAAGAGUGUGUAUCACCUUUGGAAAGAGGGGAAGGCUACCCAUGAAAUGUUUAAGGAUGUUGCUAUGCCAUGCAGGAAGAAAAUUAAACAGGCAAAAGCCAUUAGAACAUGAUCUGGACAGUUCUGUGAAAGAUAAUAAAAAUGUUUUUAUAAAUACUAAUGUUUUUACA